CCCCCCCUUCUACAAUCAUAUCUGGACCUAACAUUCUCGAAAAUGGGCUUUCCUGUUUAUAAGGCGAGAUUUACACGAUCAUCUGCCGAGUUGAUAUUUGGUCAUAACAUAUACUAUGAAAGCACUCGGUGAAGGUUGAUUUAAGUUGAUAUUUACACCCAACUCUACAUCAUCUCGAUGCAAGAUUUCUUCACCGAGAAGAUCUACCAAAACUGUAGCAACAUAAAUCAGAGGCUUCAAAAUUUUUUAAGAAAAAAAAUCAAACACCAAAGAAUAUAUGAUAAGAUGUAUUACCUGCAGGCUUCAAAAUUUUUUAAGAAAAAAAAUCAAACACCAAAGAAUAUAUGAUAAGAUGUAUUACCUGCAGGCUUCAAAAUUUUUUAAGAAAAAAAAUCAAACACCAAAGAAUAUAUGAUAAGAUGUAUUACCUGCAUUAAUACCAUAAGAAUGACCAUGAUUUCAGUUCUCUUCAUUUGCUGGGGUAGAUGGGUGUUAUGCAUGGCUGUUUGCAAAACUAUCUUCUUCUGGUGGAAGAUUUAAUAUGGGGAUAUGGACAAAUUAAGUAUAGUACAUAAGUCAUGCUUUGUUGCUUAGUUAUAUAGAAAAAUUUGAUGGGGAAAAAUAAAA
rnacentral:lncRNA from 1 species